rnacentral:rRNA from 1 species
UACGUAGGGUGCGAGCGUUAAUCGGAAUUACUGGGCGUAAAGCGUGCGUAGGUGGUGAGUUAAGUCCGAUGUGAAAUCCCCGGGCUCAACCUGGGAAUGGCAUUGGAUACUGGCUCGCUAGAGUGCGGUAGAGGGUGGUGGAAUUCCCGGUGUAGCAGUGAAAUGCGUAGAUAUGUGGAGGAACACCGAUGGCGAAGGCAGCCCCCUGGGUUAACACUGACGCUCAUGCACGAAAGCGUGGGGAGCAAACAGG